CCUAAACCAUAUAUAUUCAUGUAUGGGACAAUAUAACAAAUCAGAUGAAAUAUAGGGGAGUCCCUUGUGUCACCCCACCCCCUCCUGUUUGAGAAUUUGACACCCGUUGAGAUCACCACCUCUUAACCAUAUAUUCAUGUACGGGACAACAUAACAAUUCAAAUGAAAGAUAAGGGGAGUCCCUGAGGUCACUGUACACCCUUCUGUUUGAGAACUUGGAAAUGGUCAAGAUCCUUACCCCUAAACCAUAUAUACUCAUGUAUGGGACAAUAUAACAAAUAAAAUAAAAAUAUAGGGGAAGUUCCUGUGGUCACCCCAACCCUCCUGUUUGAGAACUUGGAAACGGUUGAGAUCCC
rnacentral:lncRNA from 1 species